GACGGAUGGGGUCUGUAAACACCAUAGGUGCAGCUCUUGAAGCUGUGAUUAGAGAGCUGGGACCCACACAUUCCCCCUCUUGUUCAGCCCCCUGCCCCUAUGGAGAUAGCGCCCUUUUUACAGGGUACGGGUGUUUUAAAGUGAUGUCUGCAUUCUCUGUAGUUAAGCGAGGUGCUGGAAAAAUCAGAACCAGAUAGAAGCAGCUGAUGAGAAUUAGACCCUUCUGUGCCUGAGACCUUGGGCAGCCCCUGCCAGUUUAGACAAGGCUGGAAAAAGAGCCUGGCCUGGUAUAAAGCAGGGGAAUGAGGAUGUAAACAAAAACCAGGCAUUUUGUUCUACGCCAGUAUUAACAGCAGCACUCUUUGCUAGGACGCCUCGACAAAUCUCGCAAAGGAAGAGGAGCCACCGUUGCAAGGAAUUGCUCUAGUUUGGGGUGGAGACAUAAAAGUGGGAAGUCAGCAUAGAAUUCUACAUAUUGUAUGUUGCUGCCCCCCAAAUAGCCACAAACGUGCAGAAUCCUGGCAAAAUUCUAUAGCACACGUGGAAUAUAGACGGGCAGCAGGAUCUUUCUAAGAUCCUGCUCAAAAAUCUUAACACUAGUUUUCAUUUUUCGCAGCUUCAUGCUCAUCCAGCAAUGAUGGUUCCCAAAGGUCAGCACUGUAUCUAAACAGGUUUCCAAGGUUCCUCUGUCUACACUAAGCUAUGAUCAAUAAAUGGUUUUCAAGAUGGCACCCUGAUCCUUGACCGCUGGAGUCAACAACCCCAAGAUUACGAAAUGAAAUAGUGUUUGUAACUGAAACUGCUUUUAGAUGUUUCUGUUUUCGCUUUGUUCUAAAUUGUGGGUCCGUUUACCACACCAGGGGGAGGGUGGGAUAUAAAUUUGAUAAACAGCAACAACCAACAACAACUGCACAAGGGAGCAAAUUUUGUACCUACUUUAAUAUUAUCUCAUGGUGACACACCUUUGUAUCCGGCCAUCAUAAAUGCUAUGCAUCAAGCAUCUAAAAAACUAUCUAGGCGCUGUACCAAAAUAUUCAAGAUGACAGGAUGCCGCCCACAGGCUGACUAUGGAAAAAUAGCAAUACAUGCAAUGAAAAGGGGGGAAAGAGAUGAAAAAGGAGAAUUGGAAAAGGAGACAAAAAAUCAUUCUGUGCUGAACAAUUAAGAAUAUACUAUCUGAAAUAAAUGGGAGAUAAGACAGUUCUUUGGAACAGAAGACUGGGUUGAUUUCACUAGCAGUUAGGAGGGAAUUCCAAAGAUUAAUGCCAGAAACAAGAAUGAAGAAGGGAAAGAUCCCACUUUCAUAAAAAGAAAAGAACGAGACCAAUACAAAGAAGAAGAAAGACCUGACCGCAUUUUGUUCUUUUUGCAGUUUUUGUUAAGUAUUAUUAGUUGCUGCUCCUGUUGCUCUGAUGUGUUUUGAAUUUCAUAUGUCUUUUCGUUGGAUGACAUGUUCUGGAG